rnacentral:rRNA from 1 species
UACGUAGGGGGGCAAGCGUUGUCCGGAAUCAUUGGGCGUAAAGAGCGCGUAGGCGGCCCGAUAAGUCCGCUGUGAAAGUCAAGGGCUCAACCCUUGAAUGCCGGUGGAUACUGUCGGGCUAGAGUCCGGAAGAGGCGAGUGGAAUUCCUGGUGUAGCGGUGAAAUGCGUAGAUAUCAAGUGGAACACCAGUGGCGAAGGCGAGUCCCUGGAAAACUCCUGACACUGAGGCACGAAAGCUAGGGGAGCAAACAGG